UAUGGAAAUCAUAUAUAUGUUUCUAUCAUUAAUAAAUAUAUAUAUCUUGCAAUUGUAUCACCUAUAUAUAUAUAUGGUCAUUAACCUUAUAAUAAUUUGUAUGUGGCAGUUUGGAGAUCACAUCCACACGCAGUGGCUGCGCCGGAGAAGAUGGAGGAUAUAUAUAUCUUGAUUCUAUUAAAGUAAGUUUUCUGGACAAGCCAUAGAGAUCAAGAUCAAAGGGAUAAGAGAACUAACUAGAAUAAUGUUUAGGAAUGAAUUAUACACACCUCAACCGCUACUUAUUCAAUCCAUGUGAUUUUGACUUGUAUUGUAUUCUAGUAAUUUUCAGUUGCAUUAUACUUUAGUAACUUAAUUAUAUUAAUUUUUUUUUAAUCUUGGAUUGUAUUGUGUUCAUUUUCAAGUUAAGAAUGUUAAUGCACCCUUCCAAGACCCGAUAUACAGUUGGAUUGGUUAAAGUUUGUUGCCAUUUGGUUAAAACUGGCCGUUGUCUUUUUAUGAUGAUUAGUUAGUUUAUUAAGUUAUCCUAUAUACUCAUUUUAAUCAAUUUCUCUUAUUCUACCAUGCUUCUCAAU
rnacentral:lncRNA from 1 species